rnacentral:rRNA from 1 species
AAGCUUGCUUUUGGAUCGUUAGCGGCGGACGGGUGAGUAACACGUGGGCAACCUGCCCUGUAGACGGGGAUAACACCGAGAAAUCGGUGCUAAUACCGGAUAAUACGAAAGACCGCAUGGUCUUUCGUUGAAAGACGGCGCAAGCUGUCGCUACAGGAUGGGCCCGCGGCGCAUUAGCUAGUUGGUGAGGUAACGGCUCACCAAGGCGACGAUGCGUAGCCGACCUGAGAGGGUGAUCGGCCACACUGGGACUGAGACACGGCCCAGACUCCUACGGGAGGCAGCAGUGGUCAUAGCUGGUUUCCUG